AAGGAAUCUCAUAUAGCCCCGGAAUUGCCGACUAGAGAUGGAUUGUUUAGACGGGACAGUGGUCACCGCAAAAUGCGUUUUUCCAAACCUCAAUGUGUGUCGGCGGCCAUAUUUCUGCUUUCCGUCGCCAUUGUUUAAUAACAAAAUUUUUUUAUAUUGUCGAAACAUAA